GUGACCAGCAGCACACAGACAUCAGAAUGUGUGUGUUCAGUGUCUCUGGUGUUUGUUCUGGUCUGGUGUCUUCAGCUGAUGUUUCUGUUCGGUCUGUUAGAAGCUUUUCACAUCUACAUGAGACACACAUCAGGAGAGAAAAAGGAAGAUCAGAAAUUGAGGAUGAGAAGAUUUAGAGAAGGACAUGAACACACAGCAGAAGAUUCAUGAGAGCAGCAGCAGAUCCUGCAUUUUCUACAUAAUUCUUAACAUUUAGACAUAAUUGUGAAGGCUUUUUUUAUUUAUCAGCUCUCUGUGGUAAUAUAAACAGGGUUGGAAAAUUUACUUUUAAAAUUUAAUUUGCUAAAGAUUACAAAAUAAAUGCUUUAAAAAGUAAAAUACUUAAAAUACUUUGAAAUACUUUAAGGUAUGUAACACAAAGGUUCCUCUGGAGCAGUGGUCUCGACUUCAGUUCCUGGAGAGAAUCGUAGCCUUGUUUAGCUUAAACUCACCUGCUUG